GCUGCCUCCUGUAACUCGGCCCCGCAACUGUCCGUCCUCCCGCCGUCUCUGAGGCUGGGUCGGCUGCUCGAGCAGGCCGUCGAAGACGCAGAAGAUGAGGAUGACUACGACGACCUUGAAGUGCCUGACAGCCAGUUUCCGUCCAUGCCGGUCUCGUUCGCUACGCUCACUGCCGACGAGGCGGUGGUACGGGGAGGCUGCGCCGCCGGCCUGGUGCGCUGUGCUAGCGCCUGCUGUAUGCUGCUGCUGCCGCGCCGGACCACCCGCUGCCCGCCGCCGCUCAGGCGGGUCGGUGUUGGUCUCUGCCUCUGAUAGGGCUGAGGCGGCGGCGACGGGAGGAAUCGGGCAUCGACGACGUAGUGAUGGACAGUAGCAGACAGGCUAAAGAUAGAAGCGAGCAAUGGCUAACGAGCGACGGCCUCGGAGGUGGCCCGUCCAAACGAGCCCCUGAUAUCAGCAAGGCUCUCGCCUUUGCCCAAGAGCGCCGACUACGAACACUAGCGCCACCAGCCAGAAGUCGCUUCCAGUGGCACUGAGCGCUGCAGUCUACCCGACAGAUGUCACCCGGAGCGUUUCUGAGGAAUGGAGCUUCAUGACCAACAGAAAAGACAGGCCCUGUACAGGAGGCUGUACUUGACGGUAGAAAGCGCCGUCUACAGAGCGGAGCCUGUGGUUCCUAGAAUAGAUACAGUAGGGCAGUGGCAGCCAACCAAAGUCACUUCACCACUGCGUGGUUCCUAGAUUGUUAGCAGUCACGGUAACUCAGGUACAACUCAGCUGAGAUAACUCAGGCAGAACUCUUGUGGCGCUCAGGUUCAGAGCAGUAGCGCAGCUCGGUAUAUCAGCUACUCGUAGAUCACGUGACUCGCAGCUGCCUCAGUGUACUAGGCAUGGGUCAGAACACGUGACGACUAUUACGAAAAGGGAUCACCGCUUCAAAGUAUCAGCAGACCUAAUAUGAUCCCGGUGGGGACUUAGGGCGCCACUGUCUUCCGACAGCAAACGGUAAGGUGCAGUUGCGUCUACCAGUGGCGGGAAUACAGUGUGCCGGUGUUCAGCUCUACGGUAUGGUCACCGUCGUGGGUCGUGGCAUGUGUGCGGCUUUGACAUGAAUACAGUUUGAUUUUAUGCUUAA